AAGACGCAUGUAAUCUACAGGGUAGUUGUGUGAUUGUGUUUUCCCAACUACAGAGGGUGAAAUAAAGGACUUGUGUUUCCUGUCCCUCAUUACCAGGGAACGGGCAAAGCCUCCCAGAAGAAUGUGCCGGGCAGACACAUGGUGCAAACCAGUCACCCAGUCUCUAAAGAGCUUUCUGAAUGCCAGCAAUCGGCCGACUCGGCUUGGUGACAGUUUGAGCUUUGGACUGCAGGGGGCCGAAGGUGUGGGAGGGCGUUCCUCUAAGAAAGGAAAAAACCCUGCACAAAGCCAGCAAGUUGUAACAAAGGACGUGCAUGAUUCCGCAAAUUCACCGUAGCUCAAGGCUUUUAACAAACAGCCAUAAAUAAACCAUACAUGAAUCUCAACGUUUUAACUGCCGUGUUAUUUGAAGUUUCUCUUCCCCCUGAAGAUUUAAUUAAGCAGUUUAAAAAAAAAAUCAAGUUAAAGAAAGGGCAGAGCUUUAAAACCGAAACUGCUUUCACUGCUGAGAAACUUUCAAAACCCAUAUUAAAAUUUGGGUAAAAAACUAUGCGGAAAAAUAAAAC